rnacentral:rRNA from 1 species
UACGUAGGAGGCGAGCGUUGUCCGGAGUUACUGGGCGUAAAGGGUGCGCAGGCGGCGGUUCGCGUGGCGAGAUGAAAUCUCCUGGCUUACCUGGGAGGAUGGUCGCCAGACGGGAUCGCUUGAGGGUCGGAGAGGGGCGUGGAAUUCCGGGUGGAGCGGUGAAAUGCGUAGAGAUCCGGAGGAACACCGAUGGCGAAGGCAGCACUCUGGGCCGGCACUGACGCUGAGGAGCGAAAGCGUGGGGAGCGAACAGG